GACGAACGCUGGCGGCGUGCUUAACACAUGCAAGUCGAACGGAAAGGCCCUGCUUUUGUGGGGUGCCCGAGUGGCGAACGGGUGAGUAACACGUGAGUAACCUGCCCUUGACUUUGGGAUAACUUCAGGAAACUGGGGCUAAUACCGGAUAGGAGCUCCUGCUGCAUGGUGGGGGUUGGAAAGUUUCGGCGGUUGGGGAUGGACUGGCGGCUUAUCAGCUUGUUGGUGGGGUAGUGGCUUACGAAGGCUUUGACGGGUAGCCGGCCUGAGAGGGUGACCGGCCACAAUGGGACUGAGGUACGGCCCAGACUCGUACGGGAGGCAGCAGUGGGAAAUAUUGCACAAUGGGCGGAAGCCUGAUGCAACGACGCCGCGUGCGGGAUGACGGCCUUCGGGUGGUAAACCGCUUUCGCCUGUGACGAAGCGUGAGUGACGGUAAUAGGUAAAGAAGCACCGGCUAACUACGUG
rnacentral:rRNA from 1 species